ACAUUAGAACCAAGGUGCUGAAGAGGCCUAGUCAAAGUCCAGACCUGACUGAAAUAAAUGAAGGUGCCAGAUACCUCGUAUAAUUAUUUCCCUCUGUUUACGUAAAACUAAAUAUACAAAGUCAAAUAAUACAAGUUUUAAAAUGAAUUUCUUUGAUGAAAAUGAAUUUUAAUGCUAAUUUUUUAAUGCUACAUUUAUGUAAUUAAUUUUGUCCCUUUUGGCCCUCCAUACAUCACUAUUCUGAAAAUCAUUUAAACUUGUCUCGAGACCCCCAGUGGUUCCCGCUCCGUACUUUGGGAACCUAAACCUGCCCCGAACCUCUUUGUCUCUGGACUGGCCCGGAACCAGCCGGUUCUGUCUGCUCAUCGAACUCUACAGGGAUUUCCUUAAAUUCUACUCAUUUUUCUCUGAACUUCGGACCGGACCGAACCGAGUCGGAACCGACAGGCUUUCCAGGAAGACAUGGCGCCUUCUGAAACCUGCAGGAGAAAUUCAGCUGAAAAGACUUCAAACCAACCGGCGGCUCGGUUUCCCUGAGCUCCUGGUUCUGGUACCGGCAGCUGGGUUCGGUUCGGGGUUAUCAACCUGCUUCUCUCCAAAGAGCCAUAAAAAAACCAUCAGACUUCCGGUUUGAAUUAAUCCACCUCUCUUGGAGCCGUUUCCUGUUUCGUACUCGUGGACGUUUACGGAGCAUCAUGGGAGUAAAAUCAUCAGAAAGUAUAAAUCUCACUUUUUUCAUCCCUAGAUUUGUUUCCUUUGCUCAUUGUUUUCAUUAAUGGUGGUUCUGAUGUCCGUUUGGACCAGUAGACGGAUAAAAAGUUACAAAAAAACUCCUGCAAUAUUAACAUUGAAUAUUUCCCAGCAUUAAAAUACA